UAUUCCAUUUGAAUAUAAGGAAAAGGCAAUUGCUCUGGCAGAAAUGCAUCCAAAAUGGAGUAUUAAAACUCUGCAAAGGAAAGGCUGCAGCUGUUUAAAAAAUAAGAAAAUGCUGCAUGUGUGGAAAGAAGACAUGAUGCGAGGCAGAACAGUGAUAGAUAAAUGGAACUACAUCGAAACGCAGACCUUUCAAAACUUCCAAGAAGCUAGAGAGUGUCUUGAGCAGAUACAAUUUUAUAAAAUAUGCAUAUUACAGAAUUAGAGAUUUAUCGAAUAUACAUUAGCAUUUGUUUUCAGGUCAC
rnacentral:lncRNA from 1 species